GGAGGAAUGCCAGAGCGGUCGAAUGGGGCGGUCUCGAAAACCGUUGUACCCUAAAAGGUACCGUGGGUUCGAAUCCCACUUCCUCCUCCA
rnacentral:tRNA from 2 species